rnacentral:lncRNA from 1 species
GUGGGAAAUGUGAGGCGAGAGGCUUCGGCGGCGGGAGAAGGGGCUUCGUCCCACCGCCAUCUUUGCGGGAAUUGAACAGCUUGGACUUGGAGACAGUGAGUUAAAACAGAAAUAAGAAGGCGGCAGAAAAAGACUACCAGAUUGAAAUGUGUUGGAUAUUCAUAUCCACCCAGCACCUCAGAAUGUGGCCAUGGAGGAUGGAGACAGAGAUUGGAGUGAUGCAUCUUCAAGCCUAGGAACACUAAGGAUUGCUGGUAAUCACCAGAAGCUGGAAGAGGCAAGAAAGUGUCCUUUCCUAGAGCCUUCAGAGAGAGCGCAGCCCUGCCAACACCUUGAUUAUAUGCUUCAAGCUUCUAGAAUUGUGAGAGAAUAAAUUUCUGUUGUUAUAA